rnacentral:lncRNA from 1 species
AUCUAAGGGUUUUUAGCCUGACAGAGUAUCUUAAAGUUUCACUGCUGUGAAGAAACACCAUGACCAAGGCAAUUCUUAAACAAGGGACAAUAUUUAAUUAGGGCUGACUUACAAGUUCAGAGGUUUAGUCCAUUAUCAAGAUGGGAGCAUGGCAGCACCCAGGCAAGCAUAGCUCAGGAGGAGCUAAGAGUUAAACAUCCUAUUUUGAAGGUAAACACAAGACUGGCUUCUAGGCAGCUGGGACAAGGGUUUCAAAGCCUACGCCCACAGUGAUACACUUCCUCCAACAAGGCCACACCUACUCCAACAAGACCACACCCACUCCAACAAGGCCACACCUCCAAAUAGUGCUACCUCCUGGGCCAAGCAUAUUCAAACCACCACACAGAGGGACUGGGGAGAGCUAUGUUUGGCCUUCUUGGGCUGGCUAGAGCCCCUUCCGGCUGUAAAGUGAGCGCAGCACACUUUCCACACAAUACUUACUGAGUGUCCACGAGGAGGCACGGGUGGAAGUGCUAGGGUAGUUGGGGUGGCGCCUGGAAUGGUAGCUCCUCAGGCCCUGUGUGUGUGGGGGGGGAACCUUAGCUGGGUGAGGCGGGUCAUGCCUCUAGGAAGUGGGUGAAAUCUUGAAAGGAUGUGUUUGGACCUGAGCACAGCUAUGGGAAGGACCCCCGCUUCCUGCCCCCAAUGCCCUAGACCCUUGGCAAAACCUCCUCCUGGUCUCAGGGCAGCUACUGACCUUGUUUACAGAAAAUCUCACUGCAGCUUCUUCCUCCGGGAUGUUUACAGCCUGAGACUUGCCCUUGCAGAUACCCCCCCCACACACACACACACACUGAGAUUAGCUAAACCUGCCUCCUACUCACUGUAGAAAUCUGUCCACUCAAUUCAGAGUCAAACCAGUGAGUUUCUGAGUCGCUGCUGGUGUGUCUCCGGCAGAGCGCCAGGCCCAGCCUAUCUCAGCUUUGCUGUAUCUGAGUUUGUCUUUUAUUCCCUCAUUUCCCUAGCCAGGCUUUCAGGAUCCAGCCACAGGGCUCACGCCUUUCCGUUGUAACACACAGGAGGCCGAGGCAGGCUGAUUUCUGUGAGCUGGAGGCCAGCCUGGCUUAAUAUCCUACCU